rnacentral:rRNA from 1 species
GUAGGUGGCAAGCGUUGUCCGGAAUUAUUGGGGCGUAAAGCGCGCGCAGGCGGUCCUUUAAGGUCUGAUGUGAAAGCCCACGGGCUCAACCGUGGAGGGUCAUUGGAAACUGGAGAACUUGAGUACAGAAGAGGAAAGCGGAAUACCACGUGUAGCGGUGAAAUGCGUAGAGAUGUGGAGGAACACCAGUGGCGAAGGCGGCUUUCUGGUCUGUAACUGACGCUGAGGCGCGAAAGCGUGGGGAGCAAACAGGAUUAGAUACCCUGGUAGUCCACGCCGUAAACGAUGAGUGCUAAGUGUUAGGGGGUUUCCGCCCCUUAGUGCUGCAGCUAACGCAUUAAGCACUCCGCCUGGGGAGUACGGCCGCAAAGGCUG